CCUACGGGAGGCAGCAGUCGGGAAUUUUGGGCAAUGGGCGAAAGCCUGACCCAGCAACGCCGCGUGAAGGAUGAAAUCCCUCGGGAUGUAAACUUCGCAAGAACGGGAAGAAUAAGUGGAAGUUAAUAUCUUCCAUGAUGACGGUACUGUUUGUAAGCUCCGGCUAACUACGUGCCAGCAGCCGCGGUAAU
rnacentral:rRNA from 1 species